rnacentral:rRNA from 1 species
AGGGGGAUAACAUCCGGAAACGGGUGCUAAUACCGCAUAGUUUUUCUUGAUUGCAUGAUUGAGAAAGGAAAGACGGCCUUUGUGCUGUCGCUUAUGGAUGGACCCGCGGCGUAUUAGUUAGUUGGUGAGGUAACGGCUCACCAAGACGAUGAUACGUAGCCGACCUGAGAGGGUGAUCGGCCACAUUGGGACUGAGACACGGCCCAAACUCCUACGGGAGGCAGCAGUAGGGAAUCUUCCGCAAGUGGGCGAAAGUCUGACGGAGCAACGCCGCGUGAGUGAAAAGAAGGUUUUCGGAUCGUAAAACUCUGUUGUCAGAGAAGAACAAGUUGGAGAGUAACUGCUCCAGCCUUGACGGUAUCUGACCAGAAAGCCACGGCUAACUACGUGCCAGCCGCCGC